UGGGGAAUAUUGGACAAUGGGCGAAAGCCUGAUCCAGCCAUGCCGCGUGUGUGAAGAAGGUCUUCGGAUUGUAAAGCACUUUAAGUUGGGAGGAAGGGCAUUAACCUAAUACGUUAGUGUUUUGACGUUACCGACAGAAUAAGCACCGGCUAACUCUGUGCCAGCAGCCGCGGUAAUACAGAGGGUGCAAGCGUUAAACGGAAUUACUGGGCGUAAAGCGCGCGUAGGUGGUUUGUUAAGUUGGAUGUGAAAGCCCCGGGCUCAACCUGGGAACUGCAUCCAAAACUGGCAAGCUAGAGUACGGUAGAGGGUGGUGGAAUUUCCUGUGUAGCGGUGAAAUGCGUAGAUAUAGGAAGGAACACCAGUGGCGAAGGCGACCACCUGGACUGAUACUGACACUGAGGUGCGAAAGCGUGGGGAGCAAACA
rnacentral:rRNA from 1 species